AUUGAACGCUGGCGGCAUGCUUUACACAUGCAAGUCGAACGGCCGCGCGGGCUGCGGCCUGGCCGCGAGUGGCCGACGGGCGGGUAAGUCACACGUACGUGACCAGCCGAGGGGGAUAGCACAGCGACAGGAGACCUAAUAUCGCACACGACCAUAGGGUGAAAGGGGGGGACCAAAAGUGCACGCGGGUCUGGAUCGCACGACGUCGGAUUAGCUAGUUGGUUGGGUAACGGCUUACCAAGGCGACGAUCCGUAGCAGGUCUGAGAGGGCGACCAGCCACACUGGAACUGAGACACGGCCCAGACUCCUACGGGAGGCAGCAGUGGGGAAUUUUGGACAAUGGGGGCAAGCCUGAUCCAGCCAUGCCGCGUGCGUGAUGAAGGCCUUCGGGUUGUAAACCGCUUUUGUUCGGGAAGAACAUCUCUGGACUAAUCCCCCGAGGGGAUGACGGUACCGAAAGAGAAAGCACCGGCUAACUACGUG
rnacentral:rRNA from 1 species